GGUUAAGCGACUAAGCGUACACGGUGGAUGCCCUGGCAGUCAGAGGCGAUGAAGGACGUGCUAAUCUGCGAUAAGCGUCGGUGAGGUGAUAUGAACCGUUAUAACCGGCGAUUUCCGAAUGGGGAAACCCAGUGUGUUUCGACACACUAUCAUUAACUGAAUCCAUAGGUUAAUGAGGCGAACCGGGGGAACUGAAACAUCUAAGUACCCCGAGGAAAAGAAAUCAACCGAGAUUCCCCCAGUAGCGGCGAGCGAACGGGGAGGAGCCCAGAGCCUGAAUCAGUGUGUGUGUUAGUGGAAGCGUCUGGAAAGGCGCGCGAUACAGGGUGACAGCCCCGUACACAAAAAUGCACAUGCUGUGAGCUCGAUGAGUAGGGCGGGACACGUGGUAUCCUGUCUGAAUAUGGGGGGACCAUCCUCCAAGGCUAAAUACUCCUGACUGACCGAUAGUGAACCAGUACCGUGAGGGAAAGGCGAAAAGAACCCCGGCGAGGGGAGUGAAAAAGAACCUGAAACCGUGUACGUACAAGCAGUGGGAGCCUCUUAAUGGGGUGACUGCGUACCUUUUGUAUAAUGGGUCAGCGACUUAUAUUCUGUAGCAAGGUUAACCGAAUAGGGGAGCCGAAGGGAAACCGAGUCUUAACUGGGCGUUAAGUUGCAGGGUAUAGACCCGGAAACCCGGUGAUCUAGCCAUGGGCAGGUUGAAGGUUGGGUAACACUAACUGGAGGACCGAACCGACUAAUGUUGAAAAAUUAGCGGAUGACUUGUGGCUGGGGGUGAAAGGCCAAUCAAACCGGGAGAUAGCUGGUUCUCCCCGAAAGCUAUUUAGGUAGCGCCUCGUGAAUUCAUCUCCGGGGGUAGAGCACUGUUUCGGCAAGGGGGUCAUCCCGACUUACCAACCCGAUGCAAACUGCGAAUACCGGAGAAUGUUAUCACGGGAGACACACGGCGGGUGCUAACGUCCGUCGUGAAGAGGGAAACAACCCAGACCGCCAGCUAAGGUCCCAAAGUCAUGGUUAAGUGGGAAACGAUGUGGGAAGGCCCAGACAGCCAGGAUGUUGGCUUAGAAGCAGCCAUCAUUUAAAGAAAGCGUAAUAGCUCACUGGUCGAGUCGGCCUGCGCGGAAGAUGUAACGGGGCUAAACCAUGCACCGAAGCUGCGGCAGCGACACUAUGUGUUGUUGGGUAGGGGAGCGUUCUGUAAGCCUGUGAAGGUGGCCUGUGAGGGUUGCUGGAGGUAUCAGAAGUGCGAAUGCUGACAUAAGUAACGAUAAAGCGGGUGAAAAGCCCGCUCGCCGGAAGACCAAGGGUUCCUGUCCAACGUUAAUCGGGGCAGGGUGAGUCGACCCCUAAGGCGAGGCCGAAAGGCGUAGUCGAUGGGAAACAGGUUAAUAUUCCUGUACUUGGUGUUACUGCGAAGGGGGGACGGAGAAGGCUAUGUUGGCCGGGCGACGGUUGUCCCGGUUUAAGCGUGUAGGCUGGUUUUCCAGGCAAAUCCGGAAAACCAAGGCUGAGGCGUGAUGACGAGGCACUACGGUGCUGAAGUGACAAAUGCCCUGCUUCCAGGAAAAGCCUCUAAGCAUCAGGUAACAUCAAAUCGUACCCCAAACCGACACAGGUGGUCAGGUAGAGAAUACCAAGGCGCUUGAGAGAACUCGGGUGAAGGAACUAGGCAAAAUGGUGCCGUAACUUCGGGAGAAGGCACGCUGAUAUGUAGGUGAAGCGACUUGCUCGUGGAGCUGAAAUCAGUCGAAGAUACCAGCUGGCUGCAACUGUUUAUUAAAAACACAGCACUGUGCAAACACGAAAGUGGACGUAUACGGUGUGACGCCUGCCCGGUGCCGGAAGGUUAAUUGAUGGGGUUAGCGGUAACGCGAAGCUCUUGAUCGAAGCCCCGGUAAACGGCGGCCGUAACUAUAACGGUCCUAAGGUAGCGAAAUUCCUUGUCGGGUAAGUUCCGACCUGCACGAAUGGCGUAAUGAUGGCCAGGCUGUCUCCACCCGAGACUCAGUGAAAUUGAACUCGCUGUGAAGAUGCAGUGUACCCGCGGCAAGACGGAAAGACCCCGUGAACCUUUACUAUAGCUUGACACUGAACAUUGAGCCUUGAUGUGUAGGAUAGGUGGGAGGCUUUGAAGUGUGGACGCCAGUCUGCAUGGAGCCGACCUUGAAAUACCACCCUUUAAUGUUUGAUGUUCUAACGUUGGCCCCUAAUCGGGGUUGCGGACAGUGUCUGGUGGGUAGUUUGACUGGGGCGGUCUCCUCCUAAAGAGUAACGGAGGAGCACGAAGGUUGGCUAAUCCUGGUCGGACAUCAGGAGGUUAGUGCAAUGGCAUAAGCCAGCUUGACUGCGAGCGUGACGGCGCGAGCAGGUGCGAAAGCAGGUCAUAGUGAUCCGGUGGUUCUGAAUGGAAGGGCCAUCGCUCAACGGAUAAAAGGUACUCCGGGGAUAACAGGCUGAUACCGCCCAAGAGUUCAUAUCGACGGCGGUGUUUGGCACCUCGAUGUCGGCUCAUCACAUCCUGGGGCUGAAGUAGGUCCCAAGGGUAUGGCUGUUCGCCAUUUAAAGUGGUACGCGAGCUGGGUUUAGAACGUCGUGAGACAGUUCGGUCCCUAUCUGCCGUGGGCGCUGGAGAACUGAGGGGGGCUGCUCCUAGUACGAGAGGACCGGAGUGGACGCAUCACUGGUGUUCGGGUUGUCAUGCCAAUGGCACUGCCCGGUAGCUAAAUGCGGAAGAGAUAAGUGCUGAAAGCAUCUAAGCACGAAACUUGCCCCGAGAUGAGUUCUCCCUGAGACUUAGAGUCUCCUGAAGGAACGUUGAAGACGACGACGUUGAUAGGCCGGGUGUGUAAGCGCAGCGAUGCGUUGAGCUAACCGGUACUAAUGAACCGUGAGGCUUAACCUUACAACGCCGAAGAUGUUUUG
rnacentral:rRNA from 1 species